GGAUGUGAGGGUGAUCUGGCUGCAACAUCUGUCACCCCCAUUGAUCUCCAGGGUUGAUUCGGCUGAUCUGGCUGGCUAGGCGGGUGUCCCCUUCCUCCUCACUGCUCCAUGUGCGUCCCUCCCGAAGCUGCGCGCUCGGUGGAAGAGGACUACCAUCCCAGAUAGAAGGAGUGUUCCAUUCUUCGGUCAAGGGUAUACGAUAGCUGUACUCCCCUGCUAGAACCUCCAAACAAGCACAAAACAUUAUGCAGGGGUAUAGUUACCAGAAACAGGGGCUCUUACUGCAUUAUUAGUCUUGUUCAUUCAGAGUCUAGUUCAGCA